AGGACGAACGCUGGCGGCGUGCUUAACACAUGCAAGUCGAGCGGAAAGGCCCUUCGGGGUACUCGAGCUGCGAACGGGUGAGUAACACGUGAGUAAUCUGCCCCUAGCUCUGGGAUAGCUCCGGGAAACCGGGAUUAAUACCGGAUAUGACCACUUUAGACAUCUGUUGUGGUGGAAAGAUUUCGGCUAGGGAUGAGCUCGCGGCCUAUCAGCUUGUUGGUGGGGUAACGGCCUACCAAGGCGACGACGGGUA
rnacentral:rRNA from 1 species